GGGCAAGUUUGGUGCCAGCAGCCGCGGUAAUACCGACUCCAAGAGUGUGUAUGAGAGAUGCUGCAGUUAAAAAGUCCGUAGUCAUAGAAGGGCAAAGAGAAGAUGCGAGGUCUCACAGUGCGAUGAUGGAGGAGCCGAUGGGGAACAUAGUAUACCAGGGCGAGAGAUGAAAUGCCAAGACCCCUGGUGGACUGAGCGAGGCGAAGGCGAUGUUCUUGUAGGCAUUCGGUGAUCAAGGACGAAGGCUGGAGUAUCGAAAGUGAUUAGAUACCGCAGUAGUUCCAGCAGUAAAAGAUGCCGACAUGCUCAUUGGACACAGUGGGCAGGGAGAAAUCUUAGAGUUCGGGCUCUGGGGAUAGUAUGCUCGCAAGGGUGAAAAUUAAAGAAAUUGACGGAGCUACACCACAAGGAGUGGAUUGUGCGGCUUAAUUUGACUCAACGCGAGGAAACUUACCAGGGCCAAGUAUUGUGUAGAAACGAGCAAUACAGGAGUGGUGCAUGGUCGUUGGA
rnacentral:rRNA from 1 species